AUCAAAUCCUCUCACUCACACUGCAACAACCUCUAACCGUUGUGUGUCAGAAGUUAAGAACUUGAAACUACACGCGAAAAAGGUGGACACAUUUCGCUGAAAUGUCGUUUAUAUAAAAUAAACGUUUUCGCUAGUGCCAACAGUGGUGUCAUUAUGUUUUGCUUUUGUACCAGUUAAAUUGUUGCGUUCGAAAAUAGUUAUGUAGUUAGUUGUGUGUGGCUUUUGUGUACCUGUGUCGUUUCUACCUACCUACCUGUCUCUUUAAUUAUGAAGACUGAUGGGGUAUUGUUUUUGUUGUUUGUUGCUGGACUGGCUUUUCAUCAGGUGACUUUUGGCGCAGAACUGGUCAUUCACAUCCCUGGUAAUUUAGGUCAAGAUGGCGUAGUAUACAGAUUAGAUUACUUCCCUCCUAUUGGUCAUCCGGCUCCAAACACCACUAUUGCUUCUAAGGACAUCAGAGAUGUGAUCAAAUUUUCUCAGGCCCUUCCAGGAACAAAAUAUGAUUUUCGACUUUACUACUCCAACGCUACACACAACAUGCUCACCUGGACUGCCAAUUUUACAACAGUACCUGAUCCACCUUCAGGCCUCUCAGUCGACGUCCGAAGUGGAAAAACCGCCAUCAUAUCCUGGGAAUCUCCAGCCCAGGGUAGUUUUACUAGUUUUAAACUUAAGAUCAAUCCUCUUGUGCACAUUUCCGAGCCAAAACAACAACCAAUCAUCAUCGACAAUGUGGAUAACAACAUGUAUGUUCUGAAAGAUCUGGUUCCUGGAGCUACGUACCAAGUUCAGGCGUUUACCGUUUUCGAAAACAAAGAAAGCGUUGCUUAUACUUCUAGAAACUUCACCACAAAACCCAACACACCUGGGAAAUUCAUAGUAUGGUUCAGAAACGAAACAACCUUACUGGUUCUAUGGCAGCCCCCUUACCCAGCAGCUAUAUAUUCCCACUACAAGGUCUCCAUCGAUCCUCCAGAUGCAAACGACAGCGUCUUGUACGUAGAAAAGGAGGGAGAACCUCCUGGUCCUGCUCAGGCAGCUUUUAAAGGAUUGAUUCCAGGUAGAGCUUAUAAUAUUUCCGUUCAGACGAUGUCAGAAGACGAAAUUUCCACUCCGACCACUGCUCAAUAUCGAACAGUACCCUUGAAGCCGCAGAGGAUAUAUUUUGAGAAGGAUAAAAUUACCUCGCAUUCGUUUAUUGUCCAUUGGGAUCCUCCAAGCGGCAAAAGUGAAUUUGACAAGUAUCAAGUCUCCUUGGGCACUGUACGAAAACCUCCUCCUGUUCCAAGAUCAAAAGAAGAUCCUACAUUUUGGGAAUUCAAGGAUAAUUUAGAACCGGGAAAGACCUAUUCCGUUGUUGUGAAAACCGUUUCUGGAAAAGUCACUUCUUGGCCUGUCAGUGCUGAUGUUACAUUAAAGCCUCUUCCGGUAAGAUACGUCACUUCAACUACCGAUACAAAAACUGGGACAGUAAGUAUAUUUUGGUCCCCUGAUCCAGCUAGUACACAAGAAGGGUAUUUAGUUUCUUAUCAUGAAGCAGAAAGUACUACAGGAGACAGUAACACUAUAAAUACCAACCAGACUGAUAUUAGUUUAGAGGCUCUAUUGCCUGGAAGAAAUUAUUCCAUUACGGUGCAAACCGUCUCCAAAGACCAACAGUCAACCGAAGAAUCACUUUAUGUUGCCACCAAACCAAGUGCACCAGUGAUUGAAGACCUGAGACCUAUGAUAGAUGGUCUAAAUAUUAGUUGGAAGUCUGACGUAAACUCAAAACAAGACAAGUACGAAAUUCAGUGGAUCAGAAACGACACACACGAAAGGAACAUCAAAACAAGUUACGAAUCCAAAAUUAUUUUGAGCCAUCUCUAUCCUGGCGCUGGAUACUUGGUGAAAGUGUUUGCUUUAUCUCACGGAUUAAAAAGUGAACCACAUGAAUAUUUUCAACCUGUUUUUCCGAGACCACCUAGAAACAUGUCUAUUGAAAAAACUACAAGCAAUUCAGUAAUAGUGCGAUGGGUAGCGCCAAGUGAUUCGUUAAUAUCUGAGUAUGCGAUUAGGUAUAGAACCGAUUCAGAUAAUCAGUGGGUCAGAUUGCCAGCUGUCCAAAACACAGAAGCCGAAGUAACAGAUAUGUCUCCUGGGGAAAGAUAUACAAUUCAAGUAAACACGGUCAGUUAUGGUCUGGAGAGCAACGAACCGCAACAGUUAAACCAUACUGUCAAACCAAAUCCUGUGUCAAAUAUCAACCCUAUAGUAGAUUCUAACAACGUAACAUUAGAAUGGCCAAGACCAGAAGGUAGGGUAGAUAUAUACAUAGUAAAAUGGAAGGAAACUGGUAGUGGCUCUCAUCUAAAUAAGCAAAACAUUAGUCAAAACCAGAAUGGCACCGGACCUGUAAGAAUGCUUAUUGGAGAUCUGAUGCCUGGUGUAGAAUACGCUUUCGAAAUUCAAGCUAUAUCAAACGAUUUACAGAGCGAAAUAACGGUUGUUAAGGCCAGGACAAUGCCUUUAAUUCAAUCAGAGGUUGUGGUAGUGAAUAAGCAGCAGUCAACUGAUACAAUUAGUCUCAGAUAUACCCCAACUCCUAUUAGUAUAUCAAGAUUCGAUACUUAUCGAUUUUCUUUAUCGGAUCCGAGUAUACAAGACAAAGAAAAAGCUGCCAAUGAUUCCGAUAGAUUUGUUACAUUUACUGGGCUGGUUCCUGGAAGAUUGUAUAAUAUUACAGUGUGGACCUUAUCUAAAGAUGUCGCAAGCCAACCCUUACAAAGGCAAGAUAGACUAUAUCCUGAACCCAUCACAAGCAUAAACUCUACAUACAUAUCCGAUACCGAAGUCACUUUAGCAUGGUCAUUACCGCACGGCGAAUUUAAUGCUUUCGAAGUUCAGUAUCUCACAACAGAGAACAUUUUUAUCCAAAACUUAACGACUCAUAACACCAUAAUUAUUAAUGAUUUGAAACCCCAUCGAAACUAUACGUUUACUGUCAUCGUGCGAAGUGGAACAGAAUCGAGCAUUUUAAGAAGUUCUUUGCCCGUGUCAGCUAUAUUUACAACCAAGGAGUCUGUACCUGGGAAAGUUGAGAAGUUUGAACCUGUAGACAUUCAACCAGGAGAGAUACAUUUCGAAUGGGCGUUGCCGAUGACCGAACAGAAUGGUGUUAUUAGGAAAUUUACUAUUACUUAUGGUUUGGAGGGAGAAACUCACACGACUUCUCAAGAUUUUGGACCCAACGAGUUUAGAGGAACUAUAAAACCGUUAGAACCAGGAAAAACUUAUGUUUUUAAAAUACAAGCUGAAACAAGAGUAGGUUUUGGCCCAGAAACCGAAUGGACGGAAAAAAUGCCUAUAACCGCACCUCCCGUGCCGCAGCCCCAAGUAGUGCCAACUGAAGUGUGCAAGAGUCCCACGUCCAUCCAGAUACGAUUCAGAAAGAAUUAUUUCAGUGAUAUUCAUGGACCGGUUACAGCAUAUGCUAUUAUAGUAGCUGAAGACGAUUCUAAAAAUGCUUCAGGUCUAGAAAUGCCAAGUUGGAGAGACGUUCAAGCAUAUUCAGUGUGGCCUCCGUACCAAGUCAUGGAACCAUACUAUCCCUUCGUGAAUAGUUCUCUAGUAGAAGAUUUUACGAUUGGUAGUGAAUCAUGUGAUAUACGCCAACUGGGGUACUGCAAUGGGCCUCUUAAAUCGGGAGCUACUUAUAAAGUGAAAAUUAGAGCAUUUACAGCACCGGACAAGUUUAGUGAUACAAGCUAUAGCUUUCCUAUUCAAACAGAUCAAGAUAAUACUCCCAUAGUUCUUGGAGUUAUCAUUCCCAUAAUUUUCAUCGCUCUACUUUUCAUCACUGUCAUUUUUAUUAGAAAAAGAAGAGCAGCUGGUAAGAGGAAGGCUUCGGAAGCUAGAGUUAAUGAUACUUCUAUGUCCUUGCCGGAUUCCGUUAUAGAAACUAGUAGACCUGUGCGGAUUGAAAAUUUCUCUAAUCACUAUAGGAUUAUGUCCGCUGAUUCAGAUUUUAGGUUUAGUGAAGAAUUUGAGGAACUAAAACUCGUUGGUCGUGAUCAACCUUGUACAUUUGCGGAUUUACCGUGCAAUAGACCUAAGAAUAGAUUUACGAACAUUUUACCAUAUGAUCAUUCCCGAUUUAAACUUCAACCCGUUGAUGAUGAAGAAGGCUCUGAUUAUAUCAAUGCAAAUUAUGUACCGGGUUAUAACUCUCCGAGAGAGUUCAUAGUCACACAAGGUCCUCUACAUUCCACUCGAGAUGAUUUCUGGAGAAUGGUAUGGGAAUCAAACUCUAGGUCAAUUAUAAUGUUAACUCGUUGUGUCGAGAAGGGUAGAGAAAAAUGCGAUCAUUAUUGGCCCUAUGACACGAUGCCAGUGUAUUAUGGCGACAUCUCUGUUCAAAUACUAAAUGAAUCUCGAUAUGCUGACUGGAACGUAUCAGAGUUUAUGGUUUGUAGGGGCGAAACUCAAAGAAUUGUUAGGCAUUUCCACUUUAGUACUUGGCCUGACUUUGGUGUUCCGAACCCACCACAUACAUUGGUUAGGUUCGUUAGAGCAUUUAGAGAAAAGGUACCCCCCGAUCAACGGCCAAUUGUAGUGCACUGUAGUGCUGGAGUUGGUCGAUCAGGGACAUUUAUAUGUCUAGAUAGAAUCCUGCAACAAAUUCUAAAGUGCGACUACGUCGACAUAUUUGGAAUAGUUUUCGCCAUGAGAAAAGAAAGAGUGUGGAUGGUCCAGACUGAACAACAAUAUAUUUGUAUUCACCAGUGCCUUUUGGCAGUGUUAGAGGGUAUAGACUUGACGACAUCUCCUAGAGAGAUUCACGAAAACCAAGGAUUCGAAGAAAUGGUUUCUGUGUUUAUAAGACGUUGUAAAAAGCUGCUAUUCUGUGGUUCAGGCAAAGGUGUUGGUGCUACAGUUGACUCGGAUUUUGCACCAGGGGAAAAACUGAGGUAGAACAAUUAACGAGGCGCACAACUGUAAUGCUUAUUACCUCUUUUACUUUUGAUGAUGAAGGUAUAGCCGAGUCAGGAAUGUAGAAAAACUUCUAUCAACCAUGAACAAAAUAAUCACUAGGUAGCUUUGAUGAAGCAUGUUUUAAACGAUGACAUGAAGGUUAUAUUUGCUAGUUAAUAACUUAUUUUUCAGUAUAAAAAAGUAAAAUUGGUAAAGAUAAUUUUGUACUAUUUGUUAUAUAUUUUGUACAAUAGUAGAAGUACAAAUAGGAAACAUUAUUGCUUCCAAUUAUUUUGGAACCUAAUUAUUGGUUAUGUAUGUUGCUUUCUUUAUCAAUUUUAGCAAUUAUUGUUACCUGUUUUGUUGUUCAAAUUAAAAUGUAUAGUCUACAGAAUUUUUAAAAUAUAUAUUGACGUUUACAAAAAGUGAAUUGGUCAAAAUUUUUUGAUCCAUAUAUCUCUAGGCCCAUUUUAGAUAUUGUUACAAAUAUGUAAUUAGAAAUACCCAGCCAGCGAGAAAACCCUAAUUAGAGGUUAUUAUAUAGUAAAAAUAUUACAUUGUUCAAAACAUAGACAUAAUACCUAGACUGCGCAUUGCUAUCUAAUACUGUUUCCCCAGUGUGACAGAGAAAAGUGUUUGUAAACAGGAUAUGCAUCUCUUUCUAAUCAACGGGGUUUCUCCAAUGUCAUUGUGUUUAUCCACCACGUGACUUUCCCACUGCCGCCGAUUAGAAAGAGAUGCGUAUACCCUAUUUACAAAAACUUUUCUCUGUCGCACUGUGCUAAAAGGUUUAGAUUGCAGCACGCAGCCUAGGUAUUAUGUCUAUGGUUCAAAAUUGUAUUAGGAAACUUUUAAAUAAGUUAGGUUAUGUACAUAAUAAUGUGUGCAUAACCACAACACUUUUAUUGACACUCUAGUUAGGUUUGUGUCUACAAUUUAGUUUCCCUGAAACCAACCUUUCUUUUAUUGCAUUUUAAUUUGGGUUUUUAGAAAUAAUAUUGAGCAGUUUUAAAAAUAUAUUUAUUUUUUAAUAAAAUAAAACUGUAUGUGAGAAUACGGUGCAUGAUGCAUAUCAUACUAUAGCAUAUACAUACAUUCAGCAUUUCUGUAAUUCGCUUUAUGUAGAAAUGUGUAUUACGCCCUAAAAGUCAUGAUUGCCCUGUUCUUUCUGUCUGAAAGUCUGCUCCAGUCAUAUUAUGAGAUAUUUUGCCCAAUAUUGCAGCUUAUUUAUAGUGGUAGAUUGAAGAUCUUCAAACUUCCCACUACCGAGUGUACAUAAUACAAAGGCAUCGUCUACCUUAAAUUGCAAAAAAUAGAGACCACUGUGGCUCUCUGAACUACGUACUAAUCGCUGAAAUAUUUGAGAAACUGUAUCUUCCAGAAACACCAAUUUCUAUAGUCCUUAAUAAGCCGACAUCUAUAAAAAUGUGUUUUUUUUUUUGUUUAAAAUUUCUUUCUCAAAGAAUUUAUUUCUGUACUUACUUUACUUUAUCAUGUCCGGACAUGUAAUUCAUAGAAUUUUGGACCAGUAUCGGGCUACGUCAGUUCCAUCUUUGUUGGCUAGCCACAAAUCUUCCGAGGAUACACCGAUGAGGACAGUUUCUCCAUGUAAUAUGUUCCAUGUUCUGUAUUUCUCCACAGUCACAGUUCACAUCAUCUUGGUUUAUUUUCUCCCAUUUUACCAUGUUUGAUUUUACUGGAGCGACCCCCGUUCUUAUCCUAUUCACAGUUUUCCACGUUUUAAUGUCUAGGGAUUGGCAGGUCCAUUGAACCUGGGGAAGAGGAUAAUUCUCAGGUUUCAUCCUGCUCCGUUUCAAGAAAGCUUUUCCUGGAUUUCAGUCGCUUUUGUGGCGUUCGAGCUUUGUAUAGGAUAUGCCGCUCGUCCGCGAUUUGUUUAAUUUUCUCUAUGGGCUCUGCAACGCCUCUGCGUGCUGAGGGUUCUGAAAAACUCGCUGCUUUAUAUAUAUUUGAGAGUGGCGUUGGUUUCAUGCAUCCCGUUACUAUCCUGCAUGUCUCAUUUAUCGCAGUUUUAACUUGUUUGGUGUAGGCAGAUCUGCCCCGUUGAAAAACACAAUGCUUGUCCCUAAUAACACCAAACAUUCCAUGUAUGUUCCUAUAAUGUACACACAGGACAUUGAAAACAUUCCUGAAAUGUCCUCAAAAGCACAAGAACGUCCCCUAAAUGUCCCAUAAGUCAUGCGUCAGCAUUUUAAACAUUCCUUGAAUGUCUUGUUGGAACAUUCCAUGAAUGUCUACGAAUGUUCUUUGGACAUUCACAGUAUAUUUUUAGACAUUCUCUUGAUAUAGUCGCUGAUGUGACAAUACCUCCGAUUUGUUUUUUUCAUGAGUUUUGUAAGAGAGACUAAAAACAUUUUUUACAGUCACCUCCUGUUUUCAUAUGAUAUUUUUUGACAUGUUUUGUACUAAAUUCAACUAUCUAUUUACUACAGAACAUGUCAAAAUUUACAUGUGAAAACAGGAGAUGACCCUAAAAAUGGUUUUUCGUCUCCUACAAAAUUCAUGAAAAAGCAGAUAGAAGGUAUUGUCACAUCACCGACAAUAUACCAUAAGUAUAUGUGGCCAUACCAAAUAAUACAUCCUUGAUAAAUAUAAACAUUGUAUUGAAUGUACUUGGUCUAGUACACCCCCAUAGUGGGCAUCCAUGUCCAUACAGGUAUUAAUAUUUGUUUAUAAAGUAAUAACUUAUUAUGCAUCGACAAUUCUUCCAACUAGCCAAUACACUUUUUACAUAUAUCUUUCUUUUGCCUUUCAUAGCCACAAGGCUACGUUUCCUUCUUAGUUUUUUUAUAGAACACUUUCAGCUGAUUCUAAAAAAAAUUAAAAUGAAUGGUAAUUUUUCUAUUCUUUACAAUUAAAAAUCAAAAGAAUAAAGAAAAUUGAAAACGGAUUUUAUUAUACUUACAUAAUUGUUUAAACAAAAGAGACCCAGUCAGAGCAAAAGUAACAUACAGAAAAGCAAAAAAAAAGCCACUAAUUCUAAUUCUAAUUUCCAUUUUACAACCAAUCAUAAAUUUUUAGGUUAUCAUGAAAUGUGAAAAUGUGAUGACCACGCGCCAUGCGACCCUACUUACAUAGAACACGAGCGGCAAAUUUGAAAAUGAACGCAAAUUGAAUAGUAAAUGGCCUCACUUAAAAUAUAGGACAUUGGUAGUAUGUUCAUAGAAAGUCUUGUGGUAACAUUCCACCGAUAAUUUAAUCAGAUGUUCACCGAAUGUUCCUUGAAUGUCCAGGACAUUCAAACAUUAAUAGAACUUUGAUAGUACAUUCCUGGAAUGUUUUGUGUUGUUAGGGGUGCCGUUGUUUUACUUCCCGUUAUCUUCCUGGGUAUGCUGUUCCUAGUUGUUACUUUCUUUCUCGUUUUAAUGGAAUGUUCUCUAUAAAUGAGGGACCGGUCCAGAGUUAUUCUAAGAUAUAUAGGUUGGUCUGUGUGUUCACUGUGAAUACUUGGUUGGUGCGAAGGUGAAAGGAGCAGACUUGAUUUUAGAUUGAUUUGGUCGCAGGGAAUUCUGCGAGUAGUACGCUGUAAGCUGUAAAGUUUAUUUUCUACGAGCCCUAACAAAUAUAUGUUGGAACAAGCAGUUAUUUUGCGAAGAAAAUACCAAUUUACCUAAAUUCUUUUAUUUCAUUUUUUUAAAUUGUAGAUAUGAAAUUAACAACUUUUUUGGUGUGUAGAAUUAUGCUUACACUUUAAUUAUAUAUUUUAUAUUGAUUUUUGAUUAAUUGUUAGAUAAUCAAAAAAUGCUGACAACUAAAUAUUGGAACAAGAGGUUUUUAACAAAUUAAAUAGACAAGGCGUAGAUAACGUUGCCCUUAGCUUGAAUAACAGCCUGAACUCUAUUAGGCAUUGUAUCAACUAGGCCUUCACAGAAUUCAGGGGUGAAACUAUCUCAUAUUUCUUGCAAUUUAACACGUAGUUAUGGCAAAGUACGCUGAGGGUUAUUUCUUGGGCGUCGUUUCAUUUUGUGCCAAAGUGUCUCCAUUGGAUUAAGAUCCGGGCUGCUAGAAGGAUGUGACAAAACUUUAAUGUCAUGUUCUCCCAUCCUUUUUGUGGUAGAUUUAGCCAUAUGGCAAGAGGUGUCCUGUUGAAAGAUAAAAUCUCCGGAUGGAUAUAACGUUGCCGCACUUGGUAAAAACGAAUGUCCAAGGAUAUCUUGAUAUUUGACUGAGUUUACUAUGCCUUCAAUAAAAUGUAAAGUUCCCAACCACUUGGUCGACACACGCCACACCAUGAUGUCCUGUGGAAACUUUACAUUCUUUUUGAGACAAUCUUUAUGGAAUGUUUCUGUUUUUCCCGAAUCACACGCUUUUGGUAAUCUCUCACACAGACAUCAAAUUUGCUUUAGUCGCUAUAAUAGAUAAUAUUUUAUCCCAAUUAAGUUUGGUCAACGAAAUUUUUGAUUUAGCCCAAAUAUAACGAUUCCUUUUUUGAGUUUCCGUCAACAAUGGUUUUUCUUUGGCCUAUUCGAAUAAAUGAAAAAUAGAAAAUUUAUAUCGCAAAGAAGAACCUAUCAGACAUACCUUAUAAAAACUGAGACCGCCUUUGUGGAUAUAUUUGCGACAGCAUUAUCUGGAAACAUUCAUCCCAGUUUCUCUAUUUCAUCUAGGAGUUAUCGCGUAGAGUACAUAAUACUGUCAGGUUCACCAUAUUUCUUAAUUAUUAUAUUAAACACAGUAGUUGUUGCUACAGUCAAUUCACUGGAAAUUUCACGCAUUGUUUUCCCUUUGUGACAUUGAUGAAUAAUACUUUCUCCCACUUUUGCAUCAGUAGGUUUUCCACUUGCCAUUAUUGUAUUUUAUUCCGUGACCAGACACCUCGUAAAGCGACAGUUCGUAACCGGACAGUUGGUAACGGACAAUUCGUAACAGCGACAGUUCGUAACGGCGACACUUGGUAACGGCGACAGUUCGUAACUAUAUAAAUUCGUAACGGAUAAUUCGUAACAUCCAAAUUGAAUUAUUAUGUUUAUUUUUGUUAACAUGGAAACUAGCUGAUAUUAGUUAUAAUUGAAAUUAUGUUUAUCAAUUUAACGAAUCAGUACGGAUAAACAUGUUUAACACAUUUUACAUUUCGUGUUUAGAAUAUUUAGAAGUCUUUAAACACAAACAAAUUUAUUUAAAUACAUAGAAACUUUUAACAUUAUUUAUAAAAAUUUUAUCACUCUUAUUGUUCCUUAAAUUUGCAUAUACCUAGACAAAGGAACAAUGAAGUACCUAAUUCCUGAAAUCUUUAAUCUGAGAACCGUCUUUAGACAUUCCAAACUUUUUAAAUAAACAUUUUGUAAAGGGGAAAGAUUAUAAUUACCUGUUAUUAUAAUAAACCUUGUGAUUAGUAAUAGCUUUGGGGCAUUCAAUCAACGGUUAUAGUUGAUAAGAGGGAUGGCUUGUAAUACUUUAAUACUUGGUUUACCUACUUUUAUUAUAUUCUGAAACACGAAAUAUGAAAUGCCUUAAAAAUGUUUAUCCUGAUACUGAUUCGUUAAAUUGAUAAACAUAAUUUCAUUUAUAACUGUAAUAACAGUUAAUUUCCACGUUAACAACAGUAAACAGAAUAAUUCAAUUUGGAGGUUACGAAUUGUCCGUUACGAAUUUGUAUAGUUACGAACUGUCGCCGUUACGAAGUGUCGCCGUUACGAACUGUCGCUGUUACGAAUUGUCAUGGAACCAUUUUAUUCACAAUAAAACUGACUCACUCAAUAUUUAGUUGUCAGCAGUUCGAUUAUUAAACAAUUAAUUGAACAGUAAUCAACAUAAAAUAUAUAAUUAAACCGUAAAAACAAUUCCAUACAUCAUUAAAAAUGUUAAUUUCAUAUUUACAUUUAAAACAAAUUUAGGUAAAUUGUCAUUUUAUUCGAAAAAUAACUGCUUGUUCCAACAUAUAGGUAGUUGUUAGAGCUCGUGUAGACCAUAUUAAGAUUCAUUUCUGAUUGAGGCUCUAAAAAAGUUCUCAAAAUGAGAGAAACUAGUCAAUUAAACACAUGAUGCAGCAAGUGUUUUAAAUUAACUUGUCUCUUGAAUGCUAGAACAACAUGUGCCCAGUUCCAUCAGCUUUUCUAUUAAAUAUUUCUCCAAAUGGCUACCCAAUUGGCCCUGAACGGUAAUAAGCUGAAAAGAAUCAUUACGAGAUUGUUUUAUUUUUAAUAACUAUGUAAAUUGAUACAUUUUAUUUUAGACAACGGUAUUUUAUAUUGUGGACCAGUUACAAUAAUAAAAAUGUAUUGAAUUUGUCAAAUAACUUGUAUUUUUAAAUUAGUAAGAUACUGUGAUAAUUUCUAUACGAAUAGAAUUAAGUAAAAACAACUUGUUAUAUUUUUAUGCUUCAAUUUUAGACUAACCUAUUAUUUGUAUUGUGCUCUGUACUUAAUUUUACACUAAAACUAAAAUAUUUUAUCUACAAA